AUUGAACGCUGGCGGUAUGCUUUACACAUGCAAGUCGAACGGUAGAGGGGCAACCCUUGAGAGUGGCGAACGGGUGAGUAAUACAUCGGAACGUGCCCAGUCGUGGGGGAUAACGUAGCGAAAGCUACGCUAAUACCGCAUACGACCUGAGGGUGAAAGCGGGGGACCUGCAAGGGCCUCGCGCGAUUGGAGCGGCCGGUGGCAGAUUAGGUAGUUGGUGAGGUAAAGGCUCACCAAGCCGACGAUCUGUAGCCGGUCUGAGAGGACGACCAGCGACACUGGGACUGAGACACGGCCCAGAAUCCUACGGGAGGCAGCAGUGGGGAAUUUUGGACAAUGGGCGCAAGCCUGAUCCAGCCAUACCGCGUGCAGGAAGAAGGCCUUCGGGUUGUAAACUGCUUUUGUCAGGGAAGAAAUCUUCUGGGCUAAUACCCUGGGGGGAUGACGGUACCUGAAGAAUAAGCACCGGCUAACUACGUGCCAGCCGCCGCCGUAA
rnacentral:rRNA from 1 species